rnacentral:rRNA from 1 species
UACGGAGGGUGCAAGCGUUAUCCGGAUUCAUUGGGUUUAAAGGGUGCGUAGGCGGCUUAUUAAGUCAGCGGUGAAAGCCUGGAGCUUAACUCCAGAACUGCCAUUGAUACUGAUGAGCUUGAGUACACUUGAAGUGGGCGGAAUGUGUCGUGUAGCGGUGAAAUGCUUAGAUAUGACACAGAACACCGAUUGCGAAGGCAGCUCACUAAAUUGUAACUGACGCUGAGGCACGAAAGCGUGGGGAUCAAACAGG